AGAGUUUGAUCCUGGCUCAGAACGAACGCUGGCGGCAGGCUUAACACAUGCAAGUCGAACGCGUGUAGCAAUACACGAGUGGCGCACGGGUGAGUAACGCGUGGAUAUCUGUCUUUUGGUUCGGAAUAACCCCGGGAAACUGGGGCUAAUACCGGAUGGUUCCUUCGGGAUAAAGAUUUAUCGCCAAAAGAUGAGUCCGCGUCCGAUUAGCUAGUUGGUGAGGUAAUGGCUCACCAAGGCGACGAUCGGUAGCUGGUCUGAGAGGACGAUCAGCCACACUGGGACUGAGACACGGCCCAGACUCCUACGGGAGGCAGCAGUGGGGAAUAUUGGACAAUGGGGGCAACCCUGAUCCAGCCAUGCCGCGUGAGUGAUGAAGGCCUUCGGGUUGUAAAGCUCUUUUGGCGGGGACGAUGAUGACGGUACCCGCAGAAUAAGCCCCGGCUAACUUCGUGCCAGCAGCCGCGGUAAGACGAAGGGGGCUAGCGUUGUUCGGAAUUACUGGGCGUAAAGCGCGUGUAGGCGGUUAUCCAAGUCGGGUGUGAAAGCCUUGAGCUCAACUCAAGAAAUGCAUUCGGUACUGGGUGACUAGAGGACCGGAGAGGAUAGUGGAAUUCCCAGUGUAGUGGUGAAAUACGUAGAGAUUGGGAAGAACACCAGUGGCGAAGGCGGCUAUCUGGACGGUUUCUGACGCUAAGACGCGAAAGCGUGGGGAGCAAACAGGAUUAGAUACCCUAGUAGUCC
rnacentral:rRNA from 1 species